CUCUCGAACUUGUUCGGGAUUGACGGUACCGUAAGAAUAAGGAUCGGCUAACUCCGUGCCAGCAGCCGCGGUAAUACGGAGGAUCCAAGCGUUAUCCGGAUUUAUUGGGUUUAAAGGGUGCGUAGGUUGAAUGAAAAGUCACUGGUGAGAGCCUGCAGCUUAACUGUAGAAUUGCCAUUGAUACUGUCAUUCUUGAGUACAGUUGAAGUGGGUGGGAAUGUGUUAUGUAACGGUGAAAUGCAUAGAUAUGACACAGAACACCGAUCGCGAAAGCAGCUCACUAAACUGUGACUGACACUGAGGCACGAAAGCGUGGGGAGCGAACAGGAUUAGAUACCCUGGUAGUCCACGCAGUAAACGAUGAUUACUCGAUGUUGGCCUUUUAAGGUCAGCGUCUUAACAAAAGUAUUAAGUAAUCCACCUGGGAAGUACGAUCGCAAGAUUGAAACUCAAAGGAAUUGACGGGGGCCCGCACAAGCGGAGGAGCAUGUGGUUUAAUUCGAUGAUACGCGAGGAACCUUACCUAGGCUUAAAUGUUAGACGACCGUCCCUGAAAAGGGAUUUUCCGCAAGGACGUCUUACAAGGUGCUGCAUGGUUGUCGUCAGCUCGUGCCGUGAGGUGUUGGGUUAAGUCCCUUAACGAGCGCAACCCCUAUUCUUAGUUGCCAGCGGAUAAUGCCGGGGACUCUAAGGAAACUGCCUAUGCAAGUAGCGAGGAAGGUGGGGAUGACGUCAAAUCAGCACGGCCCUUACGUCUAGGGCUACACACGUGCUACAAUGGCCACUACAAAGGGCAGCUACCUGGUGACAGGAUGCUAAUCUCUAAAGGUGGUCUCAGUUCGGAUCGAAGUCUGCAACUCGACUUCGUGAAGCUGGAUUCGCUAGUAAUCGUGUAUCAGCAAUGACACGGUGAAUAAGUUCCCGG
rnacentral:rRNA from 1 species